UGCUCGAAUGUGGUAUCUCUUGGAUGGCAAA
rnacentral:piRNA from 1 species